AGCAGCCGCGGUAAUUCCAGCUCCAAUAGCGUAUAUUAAAGUUGUUGCAGUUAAAAGCUCGUAGUUGAAUUUCGGGGUCAGUAGGUUGGUCAUGCCACUGGUAUGUACUGGUCUCACUGAUUCCUCCUUCCUGAUGAACUGUAAUGCCAUUAAUUUGGUGUUGCAGGGAAUCUGGACUGUUACUUUGAAAAAUUAGAGUGUUCAAAGCAGGCUCACGCUUGAAUACAUUAGCAUGGAAUAAUGAAAUAGGACGUUUGAUUCUAUUUUGUUGGUUUCUAGGAUCGACGUAAUGAUUAAUAGGGAUAGUUGGGGGCAUUAGUAUUCAAUUGUCAGAGGUGAAAUUCUUAGAUUGAUUGACGAUGAACUAUUGCGAAAGCAUUUGCCAAGGAUGUUUCCAUUAAUCAAGAACGAAAGUUAGGGGAUCGAAGACAGUCAGAUACUGCCGUAGUCUUAACCAUAAACUAUGCCGACUAGAGAUCAGACAGGCUUAUUUUCCAUGACCUGUUUGGCAUCUUAUGAGAAACCAAAGUGUUU
rnacentral:rRNA from 1 species